UUAACAUCCCUAAUCUGAGGUAUCCAAGUAUGAGCCAGAAGGAAGGACAUCUAGUCCCUCCAUCCCAGGAUGAGCAUGGACUCCUGUGAGGUCAAGUUGGCUUCAAACAUAAAUGCCAGCUUCCAAUGUUGGGGACUUCUUCCAACUUUAGUUCCAAGCAUUGGACAUGGUGAGAAAGAGAAUGAGAGAAUUAUGGUGGCAAUUUCCCAAAAGAACCAUAAAGGCUAAUUCUUUACUUAUGGAGGUUGAUGUCAUGGAGAUACUGAAUAUAAACUCAUGUGAAAUAUAUUUUGAUGUCAGUGAGAGUUUUAAUCAAGAUGGCUGUGACUAGUGAUGUUCCAAACCAUUCUGUUAGGGUGAUGAUUCCCCACAUUUCUGGAGAUUUCGGGAAAGCCAAAAAUGUCUAAUGAUUCCAAAAUAUCUUGCACCCCACUGGCCAACACUUAAAAAUCAUUUGCUGAGCUCUAACUCCUUGGUUUAUUAGUCUGUGUUCGUUAAAAUAUAGGCACUCCUGGAGGGGAUUCCUCAGUUUAAACUUUCAUCAGUCAACACCCAGAAGCAAACUUCACACCCUCUCUUGUGAGUCAUGUGAUCAAAAAAGGGAUAAGAAAUGAGAAAAUGCUAGGGUGCUGAAGAGUAAACACAGGACAACAAAUGGAUACAGACUGGAUAUUCAUGGUUCUGGACUCUCAAGGCUCCAGUGCCAAUGUGGCCCCUAUGGAAAGGAUACCUGAAGACCGAAAAUCCACAGUGCAGAGCUCAGCAGCUAGGCAAAGCCAACAUUGGAGUUUACCUGGUAAACACUUAGUUCAGAGCUAGCACAUAAUGCUAUCAAAAUGAUAGCUCAUGUGUAAAGCUCUCAUUUUACAUGAACUAACCCUUAAUCCUCUUAAUAUUAUAGGAUGUGAAACCAGCAGCCAAACUCACUAUCCUAUUGUUCCAGAACAUCCAGUCCCCUGGCAAGUGUCCUAAAUCAUCUCACACUGUGGUCUCACUUGUCCCCCUGCAUAGACUCCCAGUGACUGCAGAGCUGUUCCUGAGCCCCAUCUCUGUGACUGGGGUGCCUUUCUCUUGCAGAAAAAGCUCCUUAAUGUUGACCAUUUGUUUAAUUUUCAUUUUAAAAAACCCUAUAGCCUCUUUUCUGUGUUGGGGAUCCCUAAGGCCACCCUCAGUUUCACUGAUUUACUAGAAUUUCUCACAGUUCUCAGAAUAAAGUCAUACUUGUGAUUCUGAUUUACUACA
rnacentral:lncRNA from 1 species